AUGCUGGCAGUGGAGUCCUGCAAGGCUUGAUCCUUGAACUGGUGCUGUUCCAUGUCUUCAUCAGUGACUUGGAUGAGGGCGUGGAGAGCACCCUGUCCAAAUUUGCAGGUGAUACCAAAUUAUGGGGCAGAGUUAACACACAAGAGGGUACGGAAUGGAUCCAAGCAGAUCUGGACAGGUUGGAAAAAUGGCCAGAACGAAAUAGGACGCAGUUCAACAAAGACGAGUGCAGAGUGCUGCACCUGGG